rnacentral:rRNA from 1 species
UACGUAGGGGGCAAGCGUUGUCCGGAUUUAUUGGGCGUAAAGCGCGCGCAGGCGGUUUAUUAAGUCUGAUGUGAAAGCCCACGGCUCAACCGUGGAGGGCCAUUGGAAACUGGUAGGCUUGAGUGCAGGAGAGGAGAGCGGAAUUCCCGGUGUAGCGGUGAAAUGCGUAGAUAUCAGGAAGAACACCCGUGGCGAAGGCGGCUCUCUGGGACGGUACUGACGCUGAGACGCGAAAGCGUGGGGAGCGAACAGG